CCUACGGGGGGCUGCAGUCGAGAAUCUUCGGCAAUGGGCGAAAGCCUGACCGAGCGACGCCGCGUGAGGGAAGAAGGCCUUCGGGUUGUAAACCUCUUUCGUAGAGGAGGAAGGGGCCGUGCAGAGCGGUCUUUGACCUAUUCUAGGAAGAAGCUUGGGCUAAGUUCGUGCCAGCAGCCGCGGUAAGACGAACCAAGCGAACGUUAUUCGGAAUUACUGGGCUUAAAGCGCGUGUAGGCGGAUGACCACGUCAGUCGUUGAAAUCCCCCGGCUCAACCGGGGAACAGGCGCUGAUACGAGUUGUCUGGAGGUGGGUAGGGGAGACUGGAACUUCCGGUGGAGCGGUGAAAUGCGUUGAGAUCGGAAGGAACGCCCGCGGCGAAAGCGAGUCUCUGGACCCAUUCUGACGCUGAGACGCGAAAGCCAGGGGAGCAAACGGGAUUAGAUACCCCAGUAGUC
rnacentral:rRNA from 1 species